rnacentral:lncRNA from 1 species
GGGAUAGAAUCAAGGAUUCUGACAUUAUUGUCAAGUACACUGUCUCAAUCAGUGCUUCUUCACUUUCGACUGCAGCAUCCUGAGCACCUGUUGAAACACAGUGGAUGGCUGAGAAGCCAAUGAAUGGAGAAGUUGAGUAAAAGUGUAUGGAGAAAUUAAGAACCAUACUUAUGAGCGCUUAAAGCACGAGAGAAGAAAUGAAGAAGUGAUGUCUUCUGGCAAACUGAACUAUUACAUUCCUAGUUGUGAACCCUUAUUUCAUUCCAAGACAAGCGAGAGAGACUGUUCAGCAAGAAGAAAAGUUUCCAUGGCCUUUGGAGUUACAAGUUAUGAGUGAUCUCUGCAACUGCAGAGGGAAUCUGUGACCAAAAAAAAAAAAAAAAAAAAAAAAAAAAAAAGGCUGCUUUUAUUUUCUUGUCUGCAACUACAUUUUGUGUAUCCAGUCUUAUUUCCAAGAUAAAUCUUUCAACUUCCUCAUUC